rnacentral:rRNA from 1 species
GAUGAACGCUAGCGGGAGGCUUAAUACAUGCAAGUCGAGGGGUAACAGGGGCUUCGGCCCGCUGACGACCGGCGCACGGGUGAGUAACGCGUACGCAACUUACCUCCAAGCGAGGGAUAGCCCUGGGAAACUGGGAUUAAUACCUCAUGUGAUUAUGAUGCCGCAUGGUGUUAUAAUUAAAGUUCAGGCGCUUGGAGAUGGGCGUGCGUCCUAUUAGCUAGUUGGUGAGGUAACGGCUCACCAAGGCGACGAUAGGUAGGGGCGUGAGAGCGUGGCCCCCGACCACGGGUACGUGAGACACGGACCCGACUCCUACGGAGGCAGCAGUAAGGAAUAUUGGACAAUGGGCGGCAAGCCUGAUCCAGCCAUCCCGCGUGCAGGAUGACAGCCCUACCGGGUUGUAAACUGC